rnacentral:rRNA from 1 species
UACGAAGGGGGCUAGCGUUGCUCGGAAUCACUGGGCGUAAAGGGUGCGUAGGCGGGUCUUUAAGUCAGGGGUGAAAUCCUGGAGCUCAACUCCAGAACUGCCUUUGAUACUGAAGAUCUUGAGUUCGGGAGAGGUGAGUGGAACUGCGAGUGUAGAGGUGAAAUUCGUAGAUAUUCGCAAGAACACCAGUGGCGAAGGCGGCUCACUGGUCCAUAACUGACGCUGAGGUGCGAAAGCGUGGGGAGCAAACAGG